CCAUCGACGAAAGUUGACUUCCGCAAGGACACUCGUAGAGGUGCUGCAUGGCUGUCGUCAGCUCGUGUCGUGAGAUGUUGGGUUAAGUCCCGCAACGAGCGCAACCCUUGUCUGCUGUUGCCAUCAGGUAAUGCUGGGCACUCUGCAGAGACUGCCGGUGAUAAACCGGAGGAAGGUGGGGAUGACGUCAAGUCAGCAUGGCCUUUAUGUCUGGGGCUACACACGUGCUACAAUGGCCGAUACAAACCGUCGCAAAACCGCAAGGUGGAGCUAAUCGGAGAAAAUCGGUCUCAGUUCGGAUUGUAGGCUGCAACUCGCCUGCAUGAAGUUGGAAUCGCUAGUAAUCGCGGAUCAGCACGCCGCGGUGAAUACGUUCCCGGGCCUUGUACACACCGCCCGUCACAUCACGAAAGCCGGUUGUACUAGAAGUCGCCACAUCAACCCGCAAGGGAGAGAGGCGCCUAAGGUAUGGUCGGUGAUUGGGGUGAAGUCGUAACAAGGUAGGCGUAGUGCU
rnacentral:rRNA from 1 species